AAAUGGGUUUGUGUCUUCGUAAAAAGUCCGUUAGCAUCUCAACCGUUUUCAGAAGAGUCUAGAAGAUCAUCAUGCUGAAGUCCGGCUGCACCCCCUGUCCAAGACAAUCUCCACGGCUAUGAACUCGAUUAAUGAGAUAUAGUCGUUUGGCCCUGUGAUUCUUCAGGACAAGAUCUUGAUGACAUCCA